CUGAAAGAAAGAAGUCCAAAUUUCCCCUUAAAUAAAAUAUACUCUAAUGAAAUUGAAAUUGAGACGAUAAGAAAGAAAAGAAAGAUUUUACGUGUACACCCCCAAAGAAGAAACUAAUUGCAAUCUAGUACUAAACUAAUUUCUCACAGUUUGCAGCUUGAGAGUUGAAAUCUCUCUCUCCGUUAACCCCCACCGGCACCCCUGUAUUCGCCGAAUACUCACUAAAUUGAAUUUUGAGAUCUUCCGUUAAUUUAAUUGUUCAAAUUUUUCGAAUUUGGUGAAUGAUUCUCAGAUCGUCUGUUGAUCUCUGAGCUAGAGCUAAUUGUUCACGUUGUUGAAAAUCAUCACAAAGUGGGUAACCGAUUACUGGAUUAUUGAGUCAAAAUCGAAGGGCUCUCGGCUUGCACGAUUUAUUCUGUUUUGGAAAUCAUUAUCAAUAAUUGAACUGGAGCCGUAGUAGCUAUGUCGACCUUGAUCUGCGAUAGGAACAGUUUGAUCAAUUGCUUAAUUCAUUUUGCUGAAUGGCAUCCUCUUCAAUAACACAUCAUAUGGGGCAUUUUGAAGCCCGUAUUUCCCUUUCCACCGAGGGUGUGCAAUUGAGGUGAUUGAUUUUUGUUUGUGUGUUGAUAAAUUUCGAUAGAGAAAGAGUGAGAGAGAAAAAUGGGGUGCUGUGGGUGUUUUGGUUUCUCGUUGGUCGGAAAUUCCAAGAAGGCAAUCAGAAACAGUAGGGCAACGAGCAAUAACACUUAUCGUGAAUUGGUUAAUGAUG